rnacentral:sRNA from 1 species
AUAUUCUUACAGAAUUCUAUGCUAUGAAUGCUUUCUUGCUAAAUCCUGAACCAGCUGCCUCUUCCAUCUCCUUUACCUGCUACAACUACAAAGAGCCUUCUCUUUAAUGCACGAAUAGCAGAAGAGGUGAACUGCCUUUUGGCUUGUAGGGAUGACAAUUUGGUUUCACAGCUUGUCCAUAGCCUCAACCAGGUAUCAACAGAUCACAUAGAGUUGAAAGAUAACCUUGGCAGUGAUGACCCAGAAGGUGACAUACCAGUCUUGUUGCAGGCCAUCCUGGCAAGGAGUCCUAAUGUUUUCAGGGAGAAAAGCAUGCAGAACAGAUAUGUACAAAGUGGAAUGAUGAUGUCUCAGUAUAAACUUUCUCAGAAUUCCAUGCACAGUAGUCCUGCAUCUUCCAAUUAUCAACAAACCACUAUCUCACAUAGCCCCUCCAGCCGGUUUGUGCCACCACAGACAAGCUCUGGGAACAGAUUUAUGCCACAGCAAAAUAGCCCAGUGCCUAGUCCAUAUGCCCCACAAAGCCCUGCAGGAUACAUGCCAUAUUCCCAUCCUUCAAGUUACACAACACAUCCACAGAUGCAACAAGCAUCGGUAUCAAGUCCCAUUGUUGCAGGUGGUUUGAGAAACAUACAUGAUAAUAAAGUUUCUGGUCCGUUGUCUGGCAAUUCAGCUAAUCAUCAUGCUGAUAAUCCUAGACAUGGUUCAAGUGAGGACUACCUACACAUGGUGCACAGGCUAAGUAGUGACGAUGGAGAUUCUUCAACAAUGAGGAAUGCUGCAUCUUUUCCCUUGAGAUCUCCACAGCCAGUAUGCUCCCCUGCUGGAAGUGAAGGAACUCCUAAAGGCUCAAGACCACCUUUAAUCCUACAAUCUCAGUCUCUACCUUGUUCAUCACCUCGAGAUGUUCCACCAGAUAUCUUGCUAGAUUCUCCAGAAAGAAAACAAAAGAAGCAGAAGAAAAUGAAA